GACGAACGCUGGCGGCGUGCCUAAUACAUGCAAGUCGAGCGGAUGACGAGGAGCUUGCUCCUCUGAUUCAGCGGCGGACGGGUGAGUAACACUUGGGCAACCUGCCUGUAAGACUGGGAUAACUCCGGGAAACCGGGGCUAAUACCGGAUAGGUGAUGUCUUCGCAUGAAGAGAUCAGGAAAGAUGGCUUCGGCUAUCACUUACAGAUGGGCCCGCGGCGCAUUAGCUAGUUGGUGAGGUAACGGCUCACCAAGGCGACGAUGCGUAGCCGACCUGAGAGGGUGAUCGGCCACACUGGGACUGAGACACGGCCCAGACUCCUACGGGAGGCUG
rnacentral:rRNA from 1 species